UUUAUUGUUACUUUAUUAACAAUGUGGCUUACAAUUGUUUCAAGUAAAAAGGGGAUUUAUUUCAUUUUGAAUAAAAAUUAAAAUAUAACUCUGAAUAUAGAUUUUCACUUAUUUACAUGAAAACAUAUAUACAGAAUAGAAUCUUACAGCAAACUAACAACAUGCCCUUUGCCCUGUGAACUUUAAAAAGUAAAAACACCAGCAUUGAUUGAUUUAUAUGUAUAUAUAUACACAUACAUAUACACACACACAUAUAUACAUAUAUAUAUACACAUUAUAUUCGUAACACACCAAAGGGAUUAUAUACACAGAGUUUGAAGCAAAUCUUCAGUACAAACUGGAAUGCAAAACAAUUCAAAGGUUUCCAAUGUGCGUCAUCACGAAUGGACCAUAACUGCUGGUUGUGGAGCUAACUGCUGUUGUUCCAUAAGAGAUCGAAGGGUUUAAGUGAUUGCCUUGUCCUACCAUGGUACAAGAGAAGACUCAACUCUCUUCAAAGCUUACACUUGAAACUUCCACCUCUGUUGGACCAUACUGCACCAAAUGCCUGGCUGUACUUGACAUCCCUGCCUGUGUACAUGGAAGUGUCAUGAUACCAUUCCCCAGAUCAAUGUUUUCUAACAAGCAGGUCGCUGAAGGUGAAGACUGCUGGAAUAAAUGCACAUGUCGGCAUAUCCUGUGCAGGUUUGGUGGAACUGAGUUUGGGAAAUUUGAUUUAUUCAUUUAUAAGCAGAUAUAAGGUCCAUAAUCUCCAAGUGAGACUGAAGCAAUAACAAGCAGGUGGAGUGACUUGGGAAUGGUCGUUUUCUUCCUGUCACAUCAUAGCACAGAGCGUUUUGUAGACCUACAACCUGAACUCAUGUCACUUUUUCUAUGGGAAAGAGCUCAAGUUUUAUGCCCUGACAUUUUCUAUGGAGGUCUGAAAGGUGCAAGAGGAGGUUCGUCAUCCCCCCCAAACCCAGAAGAUGCACAGGAGUUGGGUGCAAGGAAGAAAGACUGAUUUUCCCUACUAUCCAGCCAAGGAGCCUAGACGCACCUGAGCCAAAUCUCUGUAUCUCCACAGGGAAAACAAAAUAUAAACCUUUCAGCAUUGUAUCCCUCAAGUGUAUUGCCAGCUUCUCUCUUUCCUCUCAUCUGGCAUCAGAUGAGAGCAUCUUUGCUCUGAAAAAGAGUCAAGAGAAGCCUUCAGGACCACAGGGACCAGAGCUGUGCAUUCUGUUAUGAGAGGUCCCUCCCCACAAGGAUAUCUCAAGCCCAUAACUGCAACCUCUUUCCUUCCCUGAAACCCUCCCUCCCUUCUCCCACAUCCUUGGCAGGCAUCAAGACCAGGAAUAUCUGUGGGUAAGGUAGUCACACAGCAACUGACCUGCUGCAUUAGGCUACCUGGGCUAUGUGACCUAUUCAGCAAUAGCAUCACUGGAAUCAUCUGUCCCUCCACAGUGAGCUGUGGGGAACAUCUGCCUUUCAGGGUGCACAGACAGCUCCUUCAACAGGGUGUCAAGCAAGAUAUCUAUGUCUCACCUGACCUAACUGCUUGUCAACAACCAUCUCAUCUACAGUGUGAUGAUGGAUAAUAAUGUAUUUUGCUGGUGUGCUCUGUCAAGGGCCAUUAGAGAGGCUGGAGUUUUACAUUAGAAACAUGAGACAUAUUUCAAGGUAAGAAUUAACAUGAAAGACUAAAACAAGAGAAAGGCCAUGAGAAUUUAAAACUAUGACCCAUGUUGGUUUUGUGCAGUUCACAUGUCUUCUUCUACAAGAGAAUUCCAGUACAUGGCACCAAACCACUGCAAAACCACUCUUCUUCUGCAGCACGGCUGACAUUUAAAUGACUACUGGGCUGUAAAACUCUCAUCUUUGAUGACUGGCUCAUAUUCUAAAUGGAGCCAUUAAGAUCAUUUGCACUUCUUGCUGGAGUAUUGUAUCAAAGAAUAAAUGAGAAUAUUAAAUGCUUCUGCUCUUUUAUUGGGAUUUCAUGAGCACCUAAGGACACAAGCCCUCUCUUCUUAAGUCUGGCAGAUUUCAGCUGCAUUUCUGCCUGCUAGGAGAAGGAAUCUGCUAGGGCCCUUCCACUAAGCUCAGUUACUUCUGGAUCAAAUCCUGAGUAACAGAGUCCUUUAGUUCUGGGUCAGCUGAUGUGAUGAAGCAUAUUACUGAGCGGAAAAUAUACAUGCACCCCCAUUUUGAAAGAGUUUUUAAAUAAAUAUACGGUAUAAAAUGUCUCCAAAAGUCACGAUUGGGGCUUGGUGUAUUCGUUGAGUGUAUCUGAGUUAAAAAAAUCUACAGGCACAGGAAAAGAAAUAAAUCUUAAUGCUUCAGAUGUUGCAGAUCACAGAAAGUAUUUCCUGGUGUAGAGAAUCAGCUUUGUAAUCCCAAGCAAUGGAAAACACAGCACGACAUAUCUUAGCACCAAAAUGGAGUCCUUGAGACUACAUUUAUCCACAUAUAAUAAAGCUGGUUUUAAUGGAAUUCAGUUGCAGCAUGUUCUUCUCUUUUGGCACUUGAAUUUGGAAAUGGGAAGAAGAGUCCAAGUUCAUCGUUUUCCAGACACACUGCACAAGAAAAGUAAAAAGUAUCUGAAGUUCCCUGAUGGUACUGAGCUUCUAAAACAUUGCAAUGGCUCUGCAGCUCUGCCAAAUCCAAUCUUGUGCCCUGAAAAGAGCAAAGGAGGCUUUUCGGGUGACCAAAUGUUGAUUAUGGCAGCCCAACAGUGUCUGGUUUGCCUUCAAAGAGCUGAGAUGGUGUUUGCUCCACACUGCAGGACUGGGGACUGCAGAAGGUUGAAGGUUAAAGCCAAGGGCUGGUGACUUCCCAGUUUAAGGCAAAUUAGAUAUUUAGCCAGAAUGAAAUAUUAAUGGGUUUUAGGUGUCUAACUUAGUGAGGAACUUUGUAAAUCCUACCAGACAUUCAAAUACCUCUGGCAGUGUGGGUCAGGCCAUCUCAGCUAGUACAUGCAUCUGCUAGGUACUUCAGUAAGGACAGGGUGUGUAACCAUCUGCUGAUUCCAGUGGUCACUGAGGGCACACUGCAUUUCUAGGGAGUGUUCCGCACCCUGCAGAACCAAACUAUCAAGGGCUAUUGCACAUGGUUAACACGGUGGAGCUGGAGACCCUGAAAUCCUUCUCAGAGCUGAGAGGCCAUCACACUUCUGAGACGCAGAAAAAGCCAGGGUUUGGUUAUCUGUGUUUUCAAGCUGGAAAGGGAAGAGGAGCUCUGAAACCAAAGACAAUGUUUUUCUUCAAGGUGGGAGAGGAGCAUCCAUGACAGCAGGAGGAAGGCAGGACAACCAGACAGGGAAUCAUGGACAUUCCUCUAAGUUAACGCUUUAAUCCAAUUUCAGAGACUGGCGCUUUGGGCUUGCAGACUGGGAAUUGGCUGAUUCUGUCAAGGCAAGUGCUGAGAGGUUUUGGAAUAGAGCAGAGACUUGCCCAUGGAUCUGCUCAAUCUGACUGAGAGCAAGCUCAAAAGGAGCAGAUGAAGAUGGGCAAGUACCAUACACUCUUCAACACCCUGUUUCUGCUCCAGAAAUGCCCCUCCUUGGCCCUGUGCCUCAAGAGAGGCCAGUAACAGCUGCCUGCAUACCCUUCUUGUGGGAGCAACAUGGUCCUUGUUAAUGUGCAGCAUCCAAUAGCCCAACAGCAACAUCAAGGUUGCUCCUCAGCCCUCGGUAAUGGUCUUGGAUAAUCAUGAGUUCAGCACUUCACAGAGGUCACCUUUUGUAGCUGAUAACACAACAAACUUCAGGCCUGGAUGCCAAUUUCAGAACACGGUGGGGAGAAGAAGUGGCUUCACCAAUGUCAUCGGUGUAUGUGAAGUUGCACCAGCUCUGAAUUUAACUAAGACCAAAAAAACCCUUCCAGUGGCUUAUACUUCUACAUUGCAAAGUAAAGCGAUAUUUUACCCUAGCAAGAUCAGAUUUCCAACAUCUCCUUUGAAGCACAUUACUCAAAAGCCUUUCUAAUGUUCCAAAAUUGAAAUGAAGUCCAGGCAAGAGUAAAUAGUUCCUUCUGAUCUCUACUCAGGCUGUAAGUGGCAAUUCAAGCAUAUCAUCCAUUUUCCACUUGCUUAAGAAAUUGUCUAAGAAGUUCAGCUCCAGCUUUUCUGGAAGGCAUUCACUGCGACAGACAACAGUAGCCCAAUCCCCUAUUUCUUCCCAACCUGCAGACUAAAAGAAAUAACAAAGCAUUUACCACCCAAGGCAAUUUUAGGAUAAAGAUUUCAGUUUAUCAUCUUCUCUGAAAGAACAGAGAGUGAUAAAUGAGACCAAACUGAAGAAAGAUAAAUCGCAAGACAAGUGGUAAGGAGAGAGAAACCUGAGGAAAUAAAAGAGCAGGCGCAAGAUAAAAUUAAAACUCUUUUUCUUUGUUUAAUAGGUGAGUUUUAAAUAUGAUUUAACUUCCCUGAACAAUCAGUAAAGACUCCUAUGUGCUGGGCUCUACGCUUCACCCAUCCUCUGCUUGGCCAAUAUCAGAGCUGGCUGCUCUCAGAGUCUGCGGCUGUCUGCUCCCCAACCAUACCUCCACGAGUAGUUAGCUGCCAUAAGAGUAUCUACAGUUACAAGGUUGAUGAAGAAAACAAUGAUGGUUUUGUCCCAGGAAGUGUUAAAUGUCUCUGACAAAUCCCAGUGGAAAAAAACUCCAAGUACAUCAAAGCAGCAAAGGAUGCUCAGAAGAAGGUGGAUGUGGUAAGCAAAGGAUCAGUGCUGGGAUGCUGGUUAGUGAACAGCCAUUCUGCUUCGCUUCCUUGAAAUGUCCUCAUAUGCCAGUUCUCCUGACACCAGUCUUUAGGAGCUAUCUCCUGCUGACAGAUGUUGUAGCACCCAUUGGAAGGACUGGGCUGAAGCAAGGAG
rnacentral:lncRNA from 1 species